UGCGUAGGCGGUUUUCUAAGUCACGUGUGAAAUCUUUCGGCUCAACCGGAAAACUGCGCGUGAUACUGGAGAACUUGAGUGAGGUAGGGGUGUGUGGAACUUCCGGUGGAGCGGUGAAAUGUGUAGAGAUCGGAAGGAACGCCAGCAGCGAAAGCGGCACACUGGGCCUUUUCUGACGCUGAGGCACGAAAGCUAGGGGAGUGAACG
rnacentral:rRNA from 1 species